rnacentral:ncRNA from 1 species
GGUAGUAGCAAAUAUUCAAACAAGAAAUUUGAGGGCUGAAUUGGAGAAGUGUUCGGCAGGGAAACAUGAGUUGAACAUGGGUCAGUCGGUCCUAAGAGAUGGGCGAGCACCGUUUCUAAGAGCGGUGCGAUGGUCUACGUCGCCCCCGGCAGAUCGAAAGGGAGUCAGGUUCAGAUCCCUGGACCUGGAGUUCCACGAGGCGCCCACUGUAGUGACACAAACAAUUCCCGAGAUGCUGGGGGGAACUUCGCCCUCCUCUCCCCGCUCUGGGUUCUUCUCGCGGAAUACCCCAGCUAUGGUGCUUGUC